rnacentral:rRNA from 1 species
AUGUACAUUCCUACAUCAUAGUGUUAAUGCACCGAAUCCCAUUAGAACUCUGUAGUCAAGCAUGCUUGGGCUAGAGUAGUAUUGGGAUGUGAGAUCAUCGGAGAAGUCCUAGUGUUUUACAUG